rnacentral:rRNA from 1 species
UCCAGACUCCUACGGGAGGCAGCAGUGGGGGAUAUUGCACAAUGGGGGGAACCCUGAUGCAGCGACGCCGCGUGGGUGAAGGAGCGUUUCGGCGCGUAAAGCCCUAUCGGCAGGGAAGAAGGAGGACGGUACCUGACUAAGAAGCCCCGGCUAACUACGUGCCAGCAGCCGCGGUAAUACGUAGGGGGCAAGCGUUAUCCGGAUUUACUGGGUGUAAAGGGGGCGCAGACGGCAGCGCAAGCCAGGAGUGAAAGCCCGGGGCCCAACCCCGGGACUGCUCUUGGAACUGCGCGGCUGGAGUGCAGGAGGGGCAGGCGGAAUUCCCGGUGUAGCGGUGAAAUGCGUAGAUAUCAGGAGGAACACCGGUGGCGAAGGCGGCCUGCUGGACUGCGACUGACGUUGAGGCCCGAAAGCGUGGGGAGCAAACAGGAUUAGAUACCCUUGUAC